rnacentral:lncRNA from 1 species
UUUUCUUAAUCCAGUUUAUCAUUGAUGGACAUUUGGGUUGGUUCCAAGUCUUUGCUAUUGUGAAUAGUGCCACAAUAACAAUCCUAAGCUAAAAGAACAAAGCUGAGGGCAUCAUGCUACCUGACUUCAAACUAUACUACAAGGCUACAGUAACCAAAACAGCAUGGUACUGGUACCAAAACAGAGAUAUAGGCCAAUGGAACAGAACAGAGCCCUUAGAAAUAAUACCACACCUCUACAACCAUCUGAUCUUUGACAAACCUGACAAAAACGAGCAAUGGAGAAAAGAUUCCCUAUUUAAUAAAUGGUGCUGGGAAAACUGGCUAGCCAUAUGUAGAAAGCUGAAGUUGGAUCCCUUCCUUACGCCUUAUACAAAAAUUAAUUCAAGAUGGAUUAAAGAUUUAAAUGUUAGACCUAAAACCAUAAAAACCCUAGAUGAAAGCUUCUUAUUGAAAUGUUCACUUUUGAAAUUCUAGAGGAUUCUGAGUUCAGUGUACAUCUCCCAUUUCUUUAUUUUGAAUAAUUACACUGAAGACCUGGAAUACAUAUCAAAUGUUGUCUGUAGAUUAUGAAUCUGAGCUGCACAUGAACAAUUAUAUUCCACAAAAUAAAUCCAGUUCAGCCAACAGCUUCCAUACGUGUAUAACAAUAAUAAAUUAUAAUGCACCCCCUUCUUUUCUUCCAAAAUACAUUUAUUGAAUAACAGACAAAAUUAAAAUGAAUGCAAUGAAGUUUUAAUGCUAUAGAAAUAUGUCAAUCUCAGGCCAGAGGCGGUGGCUCACGCCUGUAAUCCCAGCACUUUGGGAGGCUGAGGUGGGCAGGUCACGAGGUCAGGAGUUCGAGACCAGUCUGGUCAGCAUGGUGAAACUCCGUCUCUACUAAAAACAGAAAAAAUUAACCGGGCAUGGUGGAGCACACAUGUAAUCACAGCUAGCUACAUGGGAGGCUGAGGCAGGAGAAUUGCUUGAACCCAAGAGGUGGAGGUUGCAGUGAGCCGAGAUCACAUCACUGCAAUCCAGCCUGGGUGACAGAGUGAGACUCAAAAAAAAAAAAAAAAAAAAAAAAGAAAGAAAAAAGAAAAGAAAGAAAAAAAUAUGUCAGUCUCAUGUUCAGUUAAAAUGUUCAGUAGAACAUAAUGUUGGGUUCAAUGUUCUACUCAGCCUGGGAAUGGUUCUAUAUUUAGAAAACAAACCAACAAAGUAAAAAUUGUUGCCCAACGUGGAGAAGGGUACAGAAGAAUACCAGGAAACAUACCUUGACUUCUUUAAGGGAAAAAUUUCUAAUAAUUAGAAGUGGUUAGCAACAAAAUGGACCACUUUAUGAAAAGGCAAUUUCUUUUUAUUUCAUUUAUUUAUUUAUUUAUUUUAUUAUACUUUAAGUUCUGGGAUACAUGUGCAGAACGUGCAGUUUUGUUACAUAGAUAUACACAUGCGAUGGUGGUUUGCUGCACCUAUCAACCUGUCACCUACAUUAGGUAUUUCUCCUAAUGUUAUCCCUCUCCUAGCCUCCCACCCCACAACAGGCCCCAGUGUGUGAUGUUCCCCUCUCUAUGUCCAUGUGUUCUCAUUGUUCACCUUUCACUUAUGAGUGAGAACAUGUGGUGUUUGGUUGUCCUUUCUUGUGAUAGUUUGAUGAGAGCAAUGGUUUCCAGCUUCAUCCAUGUCCCUACAAAGGACAUGAACUCAUCCCUUUUCAUGGCUGCAUAGUAUUCCAUGGUGUAUAUGUGCCACAUUUUCUUUAUCCAGUCUAUUAUUGAUGGAUAUUUGGGUUGGUUCCAAGUCUUUGCUAUUGUGAAUAGUGCCACAAUAAACAUACAUGUGCAUGUGUCUUUAUAGCAGCAUGAUUUAUAAUCCUUUAGGUAUAUAUCCAGUAAUGGGAUUGUUGGGUCAAAUAGUAGUUUUAGCUCUAGAUCCUUGAGGAAUCACCACACUGUCUUCCACAAUGGUUGAACUAAUUUACACUCCCAUCAAUAGUCUAAAAGUAUUCCUGUUUCUUCACAUCCUCUCCAGC